AGAGUUUGAUCAUGGCUCAGGACGAACGCUGGCGGCGUGCCUAAUACAUGCAAGUCGAGCGGACAGAUAAGGAGCUUGCUCCUUUGACGUUAGCGGCGGACGGGUGAGUAACACGUGGGCAACCUACCCUAUAGUUUGGGAUAACUCCGGGAAACCGGGGCUAAUACCAAAUAAUCUUUUGUCUCUCAUGAGACAAUUCUGAAAGACGGUUUCGGCUGUCGCUAUAGGAUGGGCCCGCGGCGCAUUAGCUAGUUGGUGAGGUAACGGCUCACCAAGGCAACGAUGCGUAGCCGACCUGAGAGGGUGAUCGGCCACACUGGGACUGAGACACGGCCCAGACUCCUACGGGAGGCAGCAGUAGGGAAUCUUCCACAAUGGGCGAAAGCCUGAUGGAGCAACGCCGCGUGAGUGAAGAAGGAUUUCGGUUCGUAAAACUCUGUUGUAAGGGAAGAACAAGUACAGUAGUAACUGGCUGUACCUUGACGGUACCUUAUUAGAAAGCCACGGCUAACUACGUGCCAGCAGCCGCGGUAAUACGUAGGUGGCAAGCGUUGUCCGGAUUUAUUGGGCGUAAAGGGAACGCAGGCGGUCUUUUAAGUCUGAUGUGAAAGCCUUCGGCUUAACCGGAGAUGUGCAUUGGAAACUGGAAGACUUGAGUGCAGAAGAGGAGAGUGGAACUCCAUGUGUAGCGGUGAAAUGCGUAGAUAUAUGGAAGAACACCAGUGGCGAAAGCGGCUCUCUGGUCUGUAACUGACGCUGAGGUUCGAAAGCGUGGGUAGCGAACAGGAUUAGAUACCCUGGUAGU
rnacentral:rRNA from 1 species